rnacentral:rRNA from 1 species
GCCAAUACUAGCCCUAAGCACAACCAACACUAAUACCAAACCAACACACACUAAACCAUUCACCUACACAAAGUAUAGGCGAUAGAAAUUUUAAUCUGGCGCUAUAGACAUAGUACCGUAAGGGAAAAGGUAAAAAACCACCCAAGCACAAAACAGCAAGGACUAACUCCUGUACCUUUCGCAUAAUGAAUUAGCUAGAAACAAUUUCACAAAGAGAACUACAAGCCAAACCCCCCGAAACCAGACGAGCUACCCAAAAACAGCUAAAAGAGCGCACCCGCCUAUGUGGCAAAAUAGUGGGAAGAUUUCUGGGUAGAGGUGACAAGCCUACCGAGCCUGGUGAUAGCUGGUUAUCCAAGACAGAAUCUUAGUUCAACCUUAAGCUUACCUACAGAACUAUCUAAUCCCCCUGUAAGCUUAACUGCUAGUCUAAAGAGGGACAGCUCUUUAGACACUAGGAAAAAACCUUACAGAGAGAGUAAAACCCUCAAUCACCAUAGUUGGCUUAAAAGCAGCCAUCAAUUAAGAAAGCGUUCAAGCUCAACACUAACCACCACAAAAAUACCAAACACAUAACUGAACUCCUCACACCACAUUGGAUUAAUCUAUCACCAUAUAGAAGCAAUAAUGCUAGUAUAAGUAACAUGAAUAUUUUCUCCACUGCAUAAGCCUAAAUCGGACCGAAAGCCUCACCGAUAUUUAACAGCCAGGCAUAACAAGCACAAACAAGCCCAUGCCACCUUCACUGUUAACCCAACACAGGCAUGCCCCAAGGAAAGGUUAAAAAAAGUAAAAGGAACUCGGCAAACCCAAACCCCGCCUGUUUACCAAAAACAUCACCUCUAGCAUUACUAGUAUUAGAGGCACUGCCUGCCCAGUGACACACGUUUAACGGCCGCGGUACCCUGACCGUGCAAAGGUAG